CUCCCAAACCCCUGUGAACAUACCUAUACGUUGCCUCGGCGGAUCAGCCCGCGCCCCGUAAAAAGGGACGGCCCGCCCGAGGACCCCUAAACUCUGUUUUUAGUGGAACUUCUGAGUAAAACAAACAAAUAAAUCAAAACUUUCAACAACGGAUCUCUUGGUUCUGGCAUCGAUGAAGAACGCAGCAAAAUGCGAUAAGUAAUGUGAAUUGCAGAAUUCAGUGAAUCAUCGAAUCUUUGAACGCACAUUGCGCCCGCCAGUAUUCUGGCGGGCAUGCCUGUUCGAGCGUCAUUUCAACCCUCAAGCUCAGCUUGGUGUUGGGACUCGCGGUAACCCGCGUUCCCCAAAUCGAUUGGCGGUCACGUCGAGCUUCCAUAGCGUAGUAAUCAUACACCUCGUUACUGGUAAUCGUCGCGGCCACGCCGUAAAACCCCAACUUCUGAAUGUUGACCUCGGAUCAGGUAGGAAUACCCGCUGAACUUAAGCAUA
rnacentral:rRNA from 1 species